rnacentral:rRNA from 1 species
CGCUGUGAUGCGGGCGGUUCGCCGCCCGUGACUCUGCGAGAAGUCCAUUGAACCUUAUCAUUUAGAGGAAGGAGAAGUCGUAACAAGGUUUCCGUAGGUGAACCUGCGGAAGGAUCAUUGUCGAGACCGAAACACUACGAGCGAUUUGGAGAACCUGUCAAAGUAAGCGGUGGCUAUCGUUACCGCGAUAAAAGCCAUCCCAAACGCUGCCUCCAUCCCCUUUGGGGCGGGGAACACGAUGAAGGAUGGACGAACACUCAAACCGGCGCAGCAUCGCGCCAAGGGAAUGUCGAAACACGAGAUCUUAAUUGGGUCUGGUGGCAUGGGGUGCUGUUGCACGCCAUAUGGAUUGACACGACUCUCGGCAAUGGAUAUCUCGGCUCUCGCAUCGAUGAAGAGCGCAGCGAAAUGCGAUACGUGGUGCGAAUUGCAGAAUCCCGUGAACCAUCGAGUCUUUGAACGCAAGUUGCGCCCGAGGCCAACCGGCCAAGGGCACGUCUGCCUGGGCGUCAAGCGUUACGUCACUUCGUGUCAACUCCAUCCCAUCAAUGGAUGGGCUGGUGAAGGCUCGGAUGUGCAGAGUGGCUCGUCGUGCCCCUCGGUGCGGCGGGUUGAAGAGCGGGUCAUCAUCUCGUCGGCUACGAACAAUAAGGGGUGGAUUGAAUCGAGGCCUAUGUUAUUGUGUCGUGUGCUCCUGGGAGGAGAUCAUAUGUUAUCGGGUGAUCCCAAAUCAUGCGUUGAUCCACGGAUGACGCUCGGAAUGCGACCCCAGGACGGGCGAGGCCACCCGCCGAGUUUAAGCAUAUCAAUAAGCGGAGGAGAAGAAACUUAUGAGGAUUCCCC